GAUGAACGCUGGCGGCGUGCUUAACACAUGCAAGUCGAACGGAAAGGCCCAAGCUUGCUUGGGUACUCGAGUGGCGAACGGGUGAGUAACACGUGGGUGAUCUGCCCUGCACUUCGGGAUAAGCCUGGGAAACUGGGUCUAAUACUGGAUAGGACCACUUCUUGGAUGUUGUGGUGGAAAGUUUUUUCGGUGUGGGAUGAGCUCGCGGCCUAUCAGCUUGUUGGUGGGGUAAUGGCCUACCAAGGCGUCGACGGGUAGCCGGCCUGAGAGGGUGUACGGCCACAUUGGGACUGAGAUACGGCCCAGACUCCUACGGGAGGCAGAAGUGGGGAAUAUUGCACAAUGGGCGCAAGCCUGAUGCAGCGACGCCGCGUGGGGGAUGACGGCCUUCGGGUUGUAAACUCCUUUCGCUAGGGACGAAGCGUUUUGUGACGGUACCUGGAGAAGAAGCACCGGCUAACUACGUG
rnacentral:rRNA from 1 species